ACCUCAGAAUUCAGGAGCUUAAAACAACAAAUACUUCUUUUGCUUGCUCCCCAGUCUGCAGGUUAUUUGGGACAGCUCUACUUCAUGUUGUAAAGUUUACCUGGGCUUGACUUCAGGCUGUGAGUUGAGGUCAUGUCUGAUCCAUUUUCUUCAAUCAGUGGCAGCUCAAGGUAUGUUGAAAAUUAAAACUCACUGAGCCUCUGAUGAGACUGCAGCCCUGCUAAUAACAUGGAUUUCAGCUUGGUAACAGCCUGAACUGAAGAUCAAGGUAAGCUGUGCUCUGACCUGACUCCUGACCCAUGGAAACCGUGAGUUAUUAAAUACGUAUUGUUUUAAACUGCUAAGUUUGUGCUAACUCAUUAUACAGCAAUAGAAAAC
ensembl:lncRNA